UAUAAACGCAAACGUACGCGUGCACAAAUGCAACAAAUAAUCAAAGAAAACGAAAAUAAAUCUAUAAACGCGCGCGCUCAACGCAAUGUCAGACAAGCAGCGGGGUCUUGAUAUCGGCGGGUGGCAUAGGAUAGGCCAGAUCAACAGUGGCAACCGCGUAGGUGACAAGAGCGAGUGUCACAUAAAUUCUUUGAGAAAACUAUAUUUACUAGAACAAAUAAUCUGUGCUGUGCGUGCCGAACGUUGGGAUGUAGUAGACGUUGAGAGAGCGCGAGCGUAGAGCCAAUGCUUUUGCAGUAUAUGUAUGGUUGGUAAUUCAGCCGAUUUCGUAGGCAAGAAAAUCCAAAAACCAAAACCCGCAUCAUCCGACAUGGCUAAAAAUACGCGCAAAAACGCAAAAAAAUAGCAUAAUAAAGAAAUAAAUAUAAAUAAAAAUACGUUAGAAAUCAAAAAGUAAUUGAAAACGGUGGUAGUGCUGGUAGUAGAGACGAAGGGAAAUGGCAGUGGUUUUGGAGCGCGGAGGUGGUGAAGAACCAAAGCAAUAUCGGGAAAACAAAACUAAUUUUUACAACAAUAGAUUACUUACAAACCUGAGGAAUAAGUCUUGGAAAAACCGCUAAUAAAAUUUCGGAAAUAUGAAUUUUUUAAGAAAUUAAAUAAAAAAAUAAUAAAAUGAAUGGUACAUAUUGUGAAUAGGUCAUAUAACCGUCUCGUCCUUUGCAAACCCCAUAAUGAUAGGCCAAUUCCUUCUUUAGCCAUUUUAACAACCUAACAUGCAUGAAAAUAUGCACACGUGCAUGGAAUUCGCAAGAGACAAAAAACCAAGAAGGAAAUAGAUAACAUGCCAGCAAAUAACAGUCAAGAUGAUCCAAGUAACAGGCGCAGUUACAAAACAAAAGAGGCAAGAGGCAAACACUUGCCGUAUGAAUAUACAACAGUCCCAGCACCACUUGUGCAUUACAUACAGCCUACCAACCAACAACAUACACGACACAAUCAUUGAAGAGCACACACUGAAGUAACACAGCAUAGGUUGGAAGAAGUGCAUACGGAACAAAGCAAUACGGGCAUUUCAUGCGUAAAAAAAUGGAAUGAUGACGACAAAAGUGUUAGUGGGUUGCUGCCGAGUCGUGGUGUUGCGCUUCUUUAGGUGCCUCCGGAACCGUACGACGGAAAUAUGAAGACCACAAAAGGAAAACUAACAACUAUAACUACUUCUAGUAGUUAAAAUUUAACAAUAGGCUACACAACCACUAGAAUAGCUAUAGCUAAAGCACAUAAACGAGUGUGACACAAAGCCAACAUUGCGCAUCAAAGUGUUUUCAAGUGAGUGAACGGAAACAUAUGCAUAAAUACUUAAAAAGACUGUAACACAUAAAUGACUGGAUAUGUAAUGGUUUAGAAUGACCAAGUAGCUAUGUGACUGACUAAGCGUCAAAAAUUUUAAACUGUGCGUUAGGCACUAUGUCUUUCAGCCAAUAACUUAUCAAAGCCUGAGUUAGUACGGUCGGCAGAGGUUUUGUCGGUUUAUGCAAACCUGAUAUUAAAUUAAAAUUAAAUAUUAUCGCUUAUAUGUGCCUGUAUAUUUAUAAUAUAUUUAUAUGCGUAAUAAUGUUUGAUUCAAUUUGGUGA
rnacentral:lncRNA from 1 species